GCAAAGCACUUUUUGAUUCUCAACGUGAUGGUUCAGAGAAGAGAGGCAAGUAUGAUGCUAAGGAACUCGUCUUUACUGGCCGCCGACGAAGGAGAAGGAUGAAUAAAAAAAGGGGUAGACGACAGGGGUCAAAGAAACAAAUUUCACCUGAGAUUCAGAAGAGGAUGACUGAGGCUAUUUUUCUUCACGCAGAUAAUAAAGACAGUGAGGCUUUUCCUAUUUUAUUUGACAUUAUUAACGAAGCACCAGCCUUCGGUCAAGCUUAUUAUUACCUAGCACUUGUACCUGA